rnacentral:lncRNA from 1 species
CACCGUGCUGAGCCAGAACCGUCCCCCCAGCCCUUCCGGAGCGUGUCCCAGACAGACGCUCAUCAGGUCCUUGGGCUUCAGUGAAGAGAAGAAGAGCGGGUGAGGAGAGCGGGCAGUGCGGCAUCAGUCCGCACAGGCCAGGGCGGAGCAGAGAGAAGGCCAUGGGGUCUCGAGUAACUGCUGGAAGUCGGGGCAAGGUCCUCUGCCCUCUGCCUUCAAGAUGAGUUUCCUCUCACGGCUGCCUCCAAGCUGAGCAGGUCUGUACACGGCUAACCCCCCGCCCCAACCCCAGGGUCUUUGUGUGGGUUUCUGGAGUUGCCGCCUGCCCAGCGCUUCCUCUGGGGUCC